rnacentral:rRNA from 1 species
AGCGGCGGAUGGGUGAGUAACACGUGGGGAACCUGCCCCUAAGUCUGGGAUACCAUUUGGAAACAGGUGCUAAUACCGGAUAAUAAAGCAGAUCGCAUGAUCAGCUUUUGAAAGGCGGCGUAAGCUGUCGCUAAGGGAUGGCCCCGCGGUGCAUUAGCUAGUUGGUAAGGUAACGGCUUACCAAGGCGACGAAGCAUAGCCGAGUUGAGAGACUGAUCGGCCACAUUGGGACUGAGACACGGCCCAAACUCCUACGGGAGGCAGCAGUAGGGAAUCUUCCACAAUGGACGCAAGUCUGAUGGAGCAACGCCGCGUGAGUGAAGAAGGUUUUCGGAUCGUAAAGCUCUGUUGUUGGUGAAGAAGGAUAGAGGUAGUAACUGGCCUUUAUUUGACGGUAAUCAACCAGAAAGUCACGGCUAACUACGUGCCAGCAGCCGCGGUAAUACGUAGGUGGCAAGCGUUGUCCGGAUUUAUUGGGCGUAAAGCGAGCGCAGGCGGAAAAAUAAGUCUAAUGUGAAAGCCCUCGGCUUAACCGAGGAACUGCAUCGGAAACUGUUUUUCUUGAGUGCAGAAGAGGAGAGUGGAACUCCAUGUGUAGCGGUGGAAUGCGUAGAUAUAUGGAAGAACACCAGUGGCGAAAGGCGGCUCUCUGGUCUGCAACUGACGCUGAGGCUCGAAAGCAUGGGUAGCGAACAGGAUUAGAUACCCUGGUAGUCCAUGCCGUAAAACGAUGAGUGCUAAGUGU